rnacentral:lncRNA from 1 species
UGGUAGUAUUGGUGUUUGAAGUUGACUGUUUUGAUCAAAUCAUGUAUCCGUGUACUUUACUUUUUGAACUGGAAUAGCACAACAGGCUGGUGGCUGUGUCUUGCAAAAAGGGAUGAUUGUCUAAAUAUGGGAAGAUAAGAAUGUUUCAGGUGGCUAGUACGAGUUACGGGUAUUGCCAUGUGAAAAAGGGGUUGGUUUGUUGAAUUUAGAUUCGGUGAGUAUUGGACUGGGAGCAGGCAUUCGUCAUCCUCAGGAAAUCAUUUCUUCAAUAUUGGAGAAUGAGCUCAGUAACUGAAAUUAAAAGCUCUCCCAACAAAGCUGCUGAAACAUUUUGCAAAUCCAAGGAGUAAUGAACUUUUUCUCCCUCGUGCUUCUUCUAGAUAUGCAU